rnacentral:misc_RNA from 1 species
AAAGUCGUAACAAGGUAACCGUAGGUGAACCUGCGGUUGGAUCAUUAACAAAUUGAUUAGGCCCCCUGCUGCCCUAACAAGGCGAAUGGGGAACAACCUAAACUUUUGUGUGCACCAUAUCUGUCUUUGGCAGUUCGAGCGUCCUGAGUGCGUAACUGCUCCAGGUACCUACUAAGGUCUUCCCUUUGUGGACGGCUGAGGUUGGGCUGCCGCCUUUUGAAAAAACCAUUUGUUUGCAUUUAUGACUGAAAUUAUUUGAUCUUAUCGAUUGAAUUUAAAUACAACUUUUGACAACGGAUCUCUUGGCUCUC